GCCGGCGACCGGCGGAUGGGUGCGUAACGCGUAUGCAACCUACCUUAUACAGGGGAAUAACCUUUCGAAAGGGAGACUAACACCCCAUGGUAUUGAUUUAAGGCAUCGUUAGAUUAAUUAAAUAUUUAUAGGUAUAAGAUGGGCAUGCGUAUGAUUAGCUAGUUGGUAAGGUAACGGCUUACCAAGGCGACGAUCAUUAGGGGUUCUGAGAGGAAGGUCCCCCACACUGGUACUGAGACACGGACCAGACUCCUACGGGAGGCAGCAGUGAGGAAUAUUGGUCAAUGGGCGCAAGCCUGAACCAGCCAUGCCGCGUGCAAGGAAGACGGCCUUAUGGGUUGUAAACUGCUUUUACAUAAGACUAACCGUAUAUUUGCGAAUAUACCUGAAUGUAUUAUGAGAAUAAGGAUCGGCUAACUCCGUGCCAGCCGCUGC
rnacentral:rRNA from 1 species